rnacentral:rRNA from 1 species
UACGAAGGGUGCAAGCGUUACUCGGGAAUUACUGGGCGUAAAGCGUGCGUAGGUGGUUCGUUAAGUCUGAUGUGAAAGCCCUGGGCUCAACCUGGGAAUGGCAUUGGAACUGCGACCUAGAGUGCGGUAGAGGGUAGUGGAAUUCCCGGUGUAGCAGUGAAAUGCGUAGAGAUCGGGAGGAACAUCCGUGGCGAAGGCGACUACCUGGACCAGCACUGACACUGAGGCACGAAAGCGUGGGGAGCAAACAGGG